GUUUGUGGGCCGAAUGCGGAGGAUUUGUCGAGUUUGGAUUACCCGGAUACGGUUGUUUUUGUGGGCGGGUUUGACCCGUUAAAUGAUUGGCAAAGGAGGUAUUGUGAUUGGUUGAGGAAAUCAGGGAAAAAUGAUGAGUUGAUUGAAUAUCCUAAUAUGAUUCAUGCUUUUUAUAUUUUUCCUGAUUUGCCUGAAGCUACUCAGUUGAUUAUGCAAGUUAAGGAUUUUAUUCACAAGAAAUUUUAAUUAUAAAUGAUGAUCAUUGAUGAUUGUUGUAAUAAUAUUGAUAUGAUGAUAACAUUAAGGGAUAAUAA